rnacentral:rRNA from 1 species
ACUCAAAUGAAUUGACGGGGGCCCGCACAAGCGGUGGAGCAUGUGGUUUAAUUCGAUGCAACGCGAAAAACCUUACCUAGAUUUGACAUCCACUGACAACCGUAGAAGUACGGCUUUCCCUUCGGGGACAGUGAGACAGGUGCUGCAUGGCUGUCGUCAGCUCGUAUCGUGAGAUGUCGGGUUAAGUCCCUUAACGAGCGCAACCCUUAUCCCUAGUUGCCAUCAUUUAGUUGGGCACUCUAUGGAGACCGCCGGUGUUAAACCGGAGGAAGGCGGGGAUGACGUCAAGUCCUCAUGGCCUUUAUAUCUAGGGCUACACACGUGCUACAAUGGACGAUACAGAGGGUAGCCAACCAGCGAUGGGGAGCUAAUCUCAGAAAGUCGUUCUCAGUUCGGAUUGAAGUCUGCAACUCGACUUCAUGAAGCUGGAAUCGCUAGUAAUCGCGGAUCAGCACGCCGCGGUGAAUACGUUCCCGGGCCUUGUACACACCGCCCGU